AUGUCUUCCGCAAGCUCCCGCGCCACCUCGCGGAUGUAGAGCCGGGCACGGGUGGAGAUGCCUGUCUUCGUCUGUCCGCGGUGUCGGGCGAGCGUUGAUCGGAGGGUUUCUCACACAACGAGGAGCCACAAUCGUCCGUUCUACGUGUGCAGCGAGAAUGGGGCAGGUGACAUGCUCUUUCUUUGGGUCGAUGCUUUGGCCAAGACUCUAAUAAAUGAACUGCAAGAAGUGCAUGACGAAUGGUUGCGCAUGCUGCCCCAAACCGCAGUGGCCGUAGCACGAGCUCCGGAAGAAGAGAUGGAGGGCGAAGCAAGCACUGACAGAGAGCUAGUUGUUGAGCUUAGGAUGUUGAAGAAGAAGGUGAGGAAGCUUGAAGAUCAAGCACUACCAAUACCCAUUUGCAAAUACUUUUGGGCAUUUGUAGGUAUGGUAAUCGCACUGGUUGUAAUGUUGAAAAUGUAUGGAAAUGCGUGA
rnacentral:rRNA from 1 species